rnacentral:rRNA from 1 species
AGUGAACGCUGGCGGUAGGCCUAACACAUGCAAGUCGAACGGCAGCACAGUAAGAGCUUGCUCUUACGGGUGGCGAGUGGCGGACGGGUGAGGAAUACAUCGGAAUCUACUUUUUCGUGGGGGAUAACGUAGGGAAACUUACGCUAAUACCGCAUACGACCUACGGGUGAAAGCAGGGGAUCUUCGGACCUUGCGCGAUUGAAUGAGCCGAUGUCGGAUUAGCUAGUUGGCGGGGUAAAGGCCCACCAAGGCGACGAUCCGUAGCUGGUCUGAGAGGAUGAUCAGCCACACUGGAACUGAGACACGGUCCAGACUCCGACGGGAGGCAGCAGUGGGGAAUAUUGGACAAUGGGCGCAAGCCUGAUCCAGCCAUACCGCGUGGGUGAAGAAGGCCUUCGGGUUGUAAAGCCCUUUUGUUGGGAAAGAAAAGCAGCAGGUUAAUACCCCGCUGUUCUGACGGUACCAAAAGAAUAAGCACCGGCUAACUUCGUG